rnacentral:rRNA from 1 species
AUGCACGCUGGCGGCGUGCCUAAUCCAUGCCAGUCGAGCGAACGGACGAGAAGCUUGCUUCUCUGAUGUUAGCGGCGGACGGGUGAGUAACACGUGGAUAACCUACCUAUAAGACUGGGAUAACUUCGGGAAACCGGAGCUAAUACCGGAUAAUAUUUUGAACCGCCUGGUUCAAAAGUGAAAGACGGUCUUGCUGUCACUUAUAGAUGGAUCCGCGCUGCAUUAGCUAGUUGGUAAGGUAACGGCUUACCAAGGCAACGAUGCAUAGCCGACCUGAGAGGGUGAUCGGCCACACUGGAACUGAGACACAGUCCAGACUCCUACGGGAGGCAGCAGUAGGGAAUCUUCCGCAAUGGGCGAAAGCCUGACGGAGCAACGCCGCGUGAGUGAUGAAGGUCUUCGGAUCGUAAAACUCUGUUAUUAGGGAAGAACAUAUGUGUAAGUAACUGUGCACAUCUUGACGGUACCUAAUCAGAAAGCCACGGCUAACUACGUG